rnacentral:rRNA from 1 species
UACGUAGGGGGCAAGCGUUGUCCGGAUUUAUUGGGCGUAAAGAGCUCGUAGGUGGUUCGGUAAGUCGGAUGUGAAAUCUCCAGGCUCAACCUGGAGGGGUCAUUCGAUACUGCCGUGACUAGAGUUCGGUAGGGGAGUGUGGAAUUCCUGGUGGAGCGGUGAAAUGCGCAGAUAUCAGGAGGAACACCGGUGGCGAAGGCAGCCCCCUGGGUUAACACUGACGCUCAGGCACGAAAGCGUGGGGAGCAAACAGG